UACGGAGGGUGCAAGCGUUGCUCGGAAUCACUGGGCGUAAAGCGACCGCAGGCGGUCUGACAAGUCGGAUGUGAAAGCCCUGGGCUCAACUCAGGAACUGCAUUCGAAACUGGCAGACUCGAGUACGGGAGAGGGGGGUAGAAUUCCUGGUGUAGGGGUGAAAUUCGUAGAUAUCGAGAGGAACACCGGUGGCGAAGGCGGCGAUCUGGACGAUGACUGACGCUGAGACGCGAAAGCGUGGGGAGCAAACAGG
rnacentral:rRNA from 1 species